GCAGAAGGAUCAUUAGUGAAGAUUUGGGCAGGCCAUACGGACGCAAAAAAGUGUCCCUGGCCGCCUACACCCACUAUACAUCCACAAACCCGUGUGCACUGUCUUGGAGAAAGGCUUCUUGAGAAGUUAUGUGACCUCUCUUGGAGGUCUUUCUUCGCUACAAACUCGAAUGGUUAGUAUGAACGUGGAACUUGGUUGGACCGUCACUGGCCAACAAACUAUACACAACUUUCGACAACGGAUCUCUUGGUUCUCCCA
rnacentral:misc_RNA from 1 species